GUGGAUGCGAGCAAGGAAGUUUCGGUGUCGGCUCCACUUGUUGAGUUUCUCGGAUGGUUCCUUGACUUGAGAAAAUUGUUUUUGGUUUUUUUGUUUUCGAUUCUCUCGGACAAUGAAAGAACAAAAAUGUUGUUUCUUUUUUUUUUUUUUUAAUUCAGACGUUGCUUCAUACAUUUUUAGUUAUGGAUAACAAUUAUGAUAUGAGGUAAGACGACCAUGACUCAGUCAUAUGACACAAAGUCUCCUUCGUUAUUCCUCCUCAAUUGGCAAUUUAUGUCAUGCCCUAGUUUUUUUGGUUAUCACUCAUGUGCUGGGAGCACAUUUGCACAGGGCCCAUUACAAUUUUGAAAUUUUUUAGCCCAAAAUAAGGCCCGAAAAUGUUUUAAAUUGUUUUUUUUCUUAAAGAAAAGGGCCCAGAUUUUUUUUCUUCUUCUUAAGAAGGCCCUAAAAUUUUUUUUUCAGCACAGGGCCUCACCUACAACUGAGACGGGCCUGACGGUGACAUUAGGUAACUUACAAUGCUGAAUAAAUAUCAAGUCCCCCUGCGAUUAGUGAAUUCAAAAACUCUAUAAUUUCUCUCUCAGAUUCAGCAUUCAACAGUAAGAAUGAGUUGCACAACUUGUUACGCUCAAUCCUUUACCUUCUCUACAGAGCAGUCUCGAGCUGACUGUCUUUGCAAGUUUGCCCCAUCACAAGUUUCCUUCAUGAGAAACUUGCUAAUAGACACCAAUGUGACAUAUAAUUUCAUUUCUACUAUUACACCAAACCAUUAUUUUUAAAAAAAAUUGAUCAUCUUCUUCACAUGUAUUUCUUCUCCUUUUUCACGAUUGCCAUGGUGUAGCUGAUGUUGUUCUCUCAUGAUCAAACUCUUCCUCAUUACUCUAUUCAUCUCUGUUUCAGUUUGCUUGUGAGAACAAAUACAAUAAAAGGCAAAGGCCCAUGGUAUUGGAAUCAUUUCGUGCCAAUCUUACUACACAAUACCGCCGCCGUCUAGUCGCUGGUUCCACGGUCUCUCCUUCUCCGCCGACGUCUAGUCGAAAAGGCAGUUCCUCCAGUAGAAGCUAUGUUUCCGUGAAUCAUCAUCACAUGACCCCCCUCUUACCAUCGUAGAUCCGACGAUCCUGUUCCUCUUUGUGCUAUCCUUCUGAUUUUUUUCAUCUCUUUCUUUUGUUUCUCACUCAUUUUUUUCACAAAUCAGAUAAGUUCAACUUUGAGUUAUCACUAUGCUUAUAUGCACAUAUAUUUGAUGUUUUCCAAUUAAUGAAUCGUCGAAUCCAGAUGUUAAUGGAACAAGUUGACCAUAGCAUUAGCUGGUUUAAUUAAUUUUAGUUCGUUUGGCUAAGAGUAAACUGAAUAAAACUAGCAAACCGAUGUAAAAUUAUGGUUUAUGGGUAAUUAAGUUUUGAACUAUCGUUUCAUGGAAAAAUAGAUUUGUAACCUUCAAUUUGUGGUGAUCUAACACGAGGUUAUAGUUUGGUGGGGUUCUAAUGCUAUAUGAUACUAGGGACUGUCCCGGGCUACGCCCGGGUUUUUGUCAAUAAUUUUAGUAUUUAUAACUUAACAUUUGUAUUUGUAAAUAUACAUUAGAAUUUAUCAUAUGUUACAAAAUAAUAAAAAAUCUAAUUUAUUUUUGUAUUCAUUGUUUUUUUCAAUGAAUUCAAAAUGGUUAAAACUCACAAUUAGUUGUGUUUUUUUACAUUGAAAUUUGUAUAUAGUAUUGUGAGAAAAAUGUACUGACAGUUAUUAAACUUUAGUAAUGUUCAGAAAUAUAUUUUAUUUCGAUUAUUUUGAUGUAAAAUAAUUGAUAAAUUUAUAAAUGAUGUAACCACAUUGUUAUGGCUUUAAAAUUAUUGAGCUCAUGUUUAUAGGUCUUCCAUCCUCAAAAGAAAGUACAAACCAACAUAUUAACUGGCUUCUUACUUGGCUUAUUUCAAUUGAGAAAUUAAGUUCAUUGGUCUAACUAAGUUUACAGCUAGGCAAACUUUGUUUGACCAAAACUACAAAAGAGUAUUGUCCUCCAAACCGGGGCAUAGUUCAUGAAAACACAAUACAAAUUAGAAUAUGACAUAAACAAAACUAAACCAAAGAAAAAAUCAGGCUUUUCUGAAAAACUUGACAUUUUUUUUUCCAGAAAUAAGCUAAGCUUCUUUGCCGAAAAAUAAGAUCCCUCACUCAUGUUUACUAAGUGAGGAACCUAUGCUCUUCUUUUUUGGCAUCGUCCUCCUCGUCAUCGCUUGUUAAAUAAUCUUUCUUUUCUUUCUUUACUACUGGAUUUUUUUUUCCUUUUUGGUUGUAAAUGCACUUAUAAAAUAGUUUUUUGUGAUAUCAUAGGACACAAUCUAAUUUGCUGUGUUAAUCUUUUCAUAAACUUAGAAACUGUCGUAUUCAGUUAGUAGAAAAAAUCCAUAUAGACACGAAAUGGUCACUAUAGUUCGUGACUAUUUUUAAAUUAGAUACGAAAUUGUCACAAAACUAGAGUCGUGACAAAGAAAAUCAUGAAAUUGUCACGAAACAAAAACCGUGACAAAAAAAAGUCACGAAAUAGACACAGAUAAAAAACGUGACUGCUGAAAAACACGCUUUUGCUAUAGAUAUUUGGUGACAAAAUGAUCAUCAAGAUAAACAUGAAUAAAAGUGUGACAAAUUUACAAAAAAAUUUAUCUUUGUCACGGUUUAGUCACUAAUAUAUUCGUGACUAUUUGAAACCCUAAACACUAAACGAAAUAGUAAGCCCUAAACAAAAUUUUAAAACCCUAAAAUAUAUAUAAAACCUUUAAAAUCUAACCUUUUUUAUAUUUUAACUUUAAAUCUUCAAGAUUAAACUCAAAAUUUGAUUCCAACCUUAAUAUAAACCCCCCCCCCCCCCCCCCCCCCACAAACAAUAUACUAAGCAUCUACUUAUCCAAACUCCAAAACAUAUAUCAUAUAUCUGAUUUAAAAUUACUUUUCAUUUUACUCCAAAUUCACUCUCUAAACUUUAACUUUAAAUUUCAAAUUUUAACCAUAAACUAUAUAAUAUGAACCAUUAAAUUAUUUUAAAAUCUUAAUCCCAAAUAUAAACUUAAACUUUGAACCUUAUUCCUAAAUUUCAAACCACAUGUUAUUGUUUACUAUAAUUUUAACCUUCUACCUUCUCUAAGAAAAGUUUUUUUACAUCAGGCUACUUUUAGUUAUUCAGUUAUAAACGAAUUGGACCAUAAGCAUAACUCGUAAAACACACCCCAAACCCUGAACUUCUAACUCGUAAACACAAACACUAUCAAGUUUAUGUUAUUACGUCUGCGUCAACUUCGAAACAAUAAAAAAUACUUAUUUAAUUAGUAGGUGGUUUCUCAUUGGCUAGUUUAUGAAAGAGCGGAUUGCACUUUGUUUGUUAUCCACCAUUGAUAGAGAAAAAUCUAACGGACACAAAUGAUCUAUUCUUUUCUUUCCUCUUUCUUCCUUCACUCAACUCUUUUCUUUCUUCAGAUUGAAUCUUUUCUCCUGCUCUCUUCGUUACACGUUAACAUAGAACGUCUAUGAUUAAAUCUGAGAAAUGAAAUAAGUGAUGAAACGCAAAGGAGAAGUGGUGGCGUGAUGAAGCAGACGCGGUGGUGGCGUGAGGAUCGGAGGCAGUGUGACGAACUGGUCCUCUGAACAACGAAAUGAAUUUUCACAAGAGCCUGAGAUGACUCGGUGGUUUCAGUUUAGAUGACUCGGUGAGUUCGAGAAGAGGAAGAUGGAGAUUGGUGAAUGUGUCCAGGCUAGGCGGCGGUGGAGGCGAGACGAAUGAAAGCUUACCGGUAGUGGACGUGUGAUACGGAGGUGAACCGGAGGCGGAGGUGACAAAAGCGGUGGCGGAGGCUCAACGUAGAAAUAUGUUUUUUUAUUUGUUAUAUUUUAUAACUAAUUAAUAAAAAUAUUUUUUUUUUAUCUUUUUUUUUAAUAAUAGUCACGUAUUAGUCAUAAA